rnacentral:rRNA from 1 species
GCAAGUCGAACGAGAAAGUUUUCUUCGGAAAACAAGUACAGUGGCGCACGGGUGAGUACAAGUUAGGUAACGUACCCUCUCGCUGGGGACAACUGGAGGAAACUCCAGCUAAUACCGAAUGCCCCGAAAUUAACUGCGGUUUUUUUCGGGAAAGCCUUCGGGCGCGAGAGGAGCGGCCUGACCCCCAUUAGCUAGUUGGUAGGGUAAUGGACUACCAAGGCUACGAUGGGUAGCUGGUCUGAGAGGAUGAUC